AACGCACAUUGCGCCCGCUAGUAUUCUGGCGGGCAUGCCUGUUCGAGCGUCAUUUCAACCCUCAAGCACUGCUUGGUGUUGGGGCCCUGCGGAAACGCAGGCCCUGAAAACUAGUGGCGGGCUCGCUGUAACUCCGAGCGUAGUAGUUCUCCUCUCGCUUAGGACGUUUCGGCGGUCUCCAGCCGUAAAACCCCCAAUUUAUAGAAGGUUGACCUCGGAUCAGGUAGGAAUACCCGCUGAACUUAA
rnacentral:misc_RNA from 1 species